rnacentral:rRNA from 1 species
GAUGAACGCUAGCUACAGGCUUAACACAUGCAAGUCGAGGGACAGGCGCACGGGAGAGUAACAUGUAUCCAACCUUCCCUUUACUCGGGGAUAGCCUUUCGAAAGAAAGAUUAAUACCCGAUAUAAUGGAUGGGGAUGCGUUCCAUUAGGAUGUUGGUGAGGUAACGGCUCACCAAGCAUUCGAUGGCUAGGGGUGCUGAGAGGAAGGUCCCCCACAAUGGAACUGAGACACAGUCCAACCUCCUACGGGAGGCAGCAGUGAGGAAUAUUGGUCAAUGGGCGCUAGCCUGAACCAGCCAAGUAGCGUGAAGGAUGAAGGCGUAUGGGUCGUAUACUUCUUUUAUAUAAGAAUAGGUAUUAUAUGAAUAAGGAUCGGCUAACUCCGUGCCAGCAGCCGCGGUAAUAC